rnacentral:rRNA from 1 species
UACGGGGGGGGCAAGCGUUGUUCGGAAUUACUGGGCGUAAAGGGUCUGUAGGUGGCCAACUAAGUCAGACGUGAAAUCCCUCAGCUUAACUGGGGAACUGCGUCUGAUACUGGAUGGCUCGAGUGUGGGAGAGGAAUGCGGAAUUCCAGGUGUAGCGGUGAAAUGCGUAGAUAUCAGGAGGAACACCGGUGGCGAAGGCGGGUCUCUGGGCAGUAACUGACGCUGAGACGCGAAAGCGUGGGGAGCGAAUGGG